rnacentral:rRNA from 1 species
UACGUAGGGUGCAAGCGUUAAUCGGAAUUACUGGGCGUAAAGCGUGCGCAGGCGGUUGUGCAAGACAGAUGUGAAAUCCCCGGGCUCAACCUGGGAAUUGCAUUUGUGACUGCACGGCUAGAGUGUGUCAGAGGGGGGUAGAAUUCCACGUGUAGCAGUGAAAUGCGUAGAGAUGUGGAGGAAUACCGAUGGCGAAGGCAGCCCCCUGGGAUAACACUGACGCUCAUGCACGAAAGCGUGGGGAGCAAAC